GAGGAAUCUUGCGCAAUGGGGGAAACCCUGACGCAGCCACGCCGCGUGCCAGAUGAAGGCCCUACGGGUCGUAAAUGGCUUUUGGUCGGGAAGAUAAGCCGGGUUUCGACCUGGUGUGACGGUACCGACUGAAUAAGCACCGGCUAACUCCGUGCCAGCAGCCGCGGUAAUACGGAGGGUGCAAGCGUUGUCCGGAAUCAUUGGGUGUAAAGGGUGCGUAGGCGGAUGUCUAAGUCUGGGGUGAAAUCUUGCAGCUUAACUGUAAAAUUGCCUUGGAUACUGGAUGUCUUGAGUACAGAAGAGGAUGGUGGAAUUCGUAGUGUAGCGGUGAAAUGCAUAGAUAUUACGAA
rnacentral:rRNA from 1 species